rnacentral:rRNA from 1 species
UACGGGGGGAGCAAGCGUUGUUCGGAUUUACUGGGCGUAAAGGGCGCGUAGGCGGCCACUGCAAGUCGGUUGUGAAAUCUCCGGGCUUAACCCGGAAAGGUCAAUCGAUACUGCAGGGGCUAGAGUGCAGAAGGGGCAACUGGAAUUCUCGGUGUAGCGGUGAAAUGCGUAGAUAUCGAGAGGAACACCUGCGGCGAAGGCGGGUUGCUGGGCUGACACUGACGCUGAAGCGCGAAAGCUAGGGGAGCGAACGGG